rnacentral:rRNA from 1 species
GCGAACGGGUGAGUAACGCGUAGGUAACCUGCCUUGUAGCGGGGGAUAACUAUUGGAAACGAUAGCUAAUACCGCAUAACAAUGGAUGACACAUGUCAUUUAUUUGAAAGGGGCAAUUGCUCCACUACAAGAUGGACCUGCGUUGUAUUAGCUAGUAGGUGAGGUAAUGGCUCACCUAGGCGACGAUACAUAGCCGACCUGAGAGGGUGAUCGGCCACACUGGGACUGAGACACGGCCCAGACUCC